rnacentral:rRNA from 1 species
GUACCCCGAGGAAAAGAAAUCAACCGAGAUUCCCCCAGUAGCGGCGAGCGAACGGGGAGCAGCCCAGAGCCUGAAUCAGUGUGUGUGUUAGUGGAAGCGUCUGGAAAGGCGUGCGAUACAGGGUGACAGCCCCGUACACAAAAAUGCACAUGCUGUGAGCUCGAUGAGUAGGGCGGGACACGUGGUAUCCUGUCUGAAUAUGGGGGGACCAUCCUCCAAGGCUAAAUACUCCUGACUGACCGAUAGUGAACCAGUACCGUGAGGGAAAGGCGAAAAGAACCCCGGCGAGGGGAGUGAAAAAGAACCUGAAACCGUGUACGUACAAGCAGUGGGAGCACGCUUAGGCGUGUGACUGCGUACCUUUUGUAUAAUGGGUCAGCGACUUAUAUUCUGUAGCAAGGUUAACCGAAUAGGGGAGCCGAAGGGAAACCGAGUCUUAACUGGGCGUUAAGUUGCAGGGUAUAGACCCGAAACCCGGUGAUCUAGCCAUGGGCAGGUUGAAGGUUGGGUAACACUAACUGGAGGACCGAACCGACUAAUGUUGAAAAAUUAGCGGAUGACUUGUGGCUGGGGGUGAAAGGCCAAUCAAACCGGGAGAUAGCUGGUUCUCCCCGAAAGCUAUUUAGGUAGCGCCUCGUGAAUUCAUCUCCGGGGGUAGAGCACUGUUUCGGCAAGGGGGUCAUCCCGACUUACCAACCCGAUGCAAACUGCGAAUACCGGAGAAUGUUAUCACGGGAGACACACGGCGGGUGCUAACGUCCGUCGUGAAGAGGGAAACAACCCAGACCGCCAGCUAAGGUCCCAAAGUCAUGGUUAAGUGGGAAACGAUGUGGGAAGGCCCAGACAGCCAGGAUGUUGGCUUAGAAGCAGCCAUCAUUUAAAGAAAGCGUAAUAGCUCACUGGUCGAGUCGGCCUGCGCGGAAGAUGUAACGGGGCUAAACCAUGCACCGAAGCUGCGGCAGCGACGCUGAUGCGUUGUUGGGUAGGGGAGCGUUCUGUAAGCCUGCGAAGGUGUGCUGUGAGGCAUGCUGGAGGUAUCAGAAGUGCGAAUGCUGACAUAAGUAACGAUAAAGCGGGUGAAAAGCCCGCUCGCCGGAAGACCAAGGGUUCCUGUCCAACGUUAAUCGGGGCAGGGUGAGUCGACCCCUAAGGCGAGGCCGAAAGGCGUAGUCGAUGGGAAACAGGUUAAUAUUCCUGUGCUUGGUGUUACUGCGAAGGGGGGACGGAGAAGGCUAUGUUGGCCGGGCGACGGUUGUCCCGGUUUAAGCGUGUAGGCUGGUUUUCCAGGCAAAUCCGGAAAAUCAAGGCUGAGGCGUGAUGACGAGGCACUACGGUGCUGAAGCAACAAAUGCCCUGCUUCCAGGAAAAGCCUCUAAGCAUCAGGUAACAUCAAAUCGUACCCCAAACCGACACAGGUGGUCAGGUAGAGAAUACCAAGGCGCUUGAGAGAACUCGGGUGAAGGAACUAGGCAAAAUGGUGCCGUAACUUCGGGAGAAGGCACGCUGAUAUGUAGGUGAAGUCCCUCGCGGAUGGAGCUGAAAUCAGUCGAAGAUACCAGCUGGCUGCAACUGUUUAUUAAAAACACAGCACUGUGCAAACACGAAAGUGGACGUAUACGGUGUGACGCCUGCCCGGUGCCGGAAGGUUAAUUGAUGGGGUCAGCGCAAGCGAAGCUCUUGAUCGAAGCCCCGGUAAACGGCGGCCGUAACUAUAACGGUCCUAAGGUAGCGAAAUUCCUUGUCGGGUAAGUUCCGACCUGCACGAAUGGCGUAAUGAUGGCCAGGCUGUCUCCACCCGAGACUCAGUGAAAUUGAACUCGCUGUGAAGAUGCAGUGUACCCGCGGCAAGACGGAAAGACCCCGUGAACCUUUACUAUAGCUUGACACUGAACA